CCGAGUCUUAAUUGGGCGUUAAGUUGCAGGGUAUAGACCCGAAACCCGGUGAUCUAGCCAUGGGCAGGUUGAAGGUUGGGUAACACUAACUGGAGGACCGAACCGACUAAUGUUGAAAAAUUAGCGGAUGACCUGUGGCUGGGGGUGAAAGGCCAAUCAAACCGGGAGAUAGCUGGUUCUCCCCGAAAGCUAUUUAGGUAGCGCCUCGUGAAUUCAUCUCCGGGGGUAGAGCACUGUUUCGGCUAGGGGGCCAUCCCGGCUUACCAACCCGAUGCAAACUGCGAAUACCGGAGAAUGUUAUCACGGGAGACACACGGCGGGUGCUAACGUCCGUCGUGAAGAGGGAAACAACCCAGACCGCCAGCUAAGGUCCCAAAGUCAUGGUUAAGUGGGAAACGAUGUGGGAAGGCCCAGACAGCCAGGAUGUUGGCUUAGAAGCAGCCAUCAUUUAAAGAAAGCGUAAUAGCUCACUGGUCGAGUCGGCCUGCGCGGAAGAUGUAACGGGGCUAAACCAUGCACCGAAGCUGCGGCAGCGACACUCAGGUGUUGUUGGGUAGGGGAGCGUUCUGUAAGCCUGUGAAGGUGGCCUGUGAGGGUUGCUGGAGGUAUCAGAAGUGCGAAUGCUGACAUAAGUAACGAUAAAGCGGGUGAAAAGCCCGCUCGCCGGAAGACCAAGGGUUCCUGUCCAACGUUAAUCGGGGCAGGGUGAGUCGACCCCUAAGGCGAGGCCGAAAGGCGUAGUCGAUGGGAAACGGGUUAAUAUUCCCGUACUUGGUGUUACUGCGAAGGGGGGACGGAGAAGGCUAUGUUGGCCGGGCGACGGUUGUCCCGGUUUAAGCGUGUAGGUGUGUGUUCCAGGUAAAUCCGGUUCACUUUAACACUGAGGCGUGAUGACGAGGCACUACGGUGCUGAAGCAACAAAUGCCCUGCUUCCAGGAAAAGCCUCUAAGCAUCAGGUAACAUCAAAUCGUACCCCAAACCGACACAGGUGGUCAGGUAGAGAAUACCAAGGCGCUUGAGAGAACUCGGGUGAAGGAACUAGGCAAAAUGGUGCCGUAACUUCGGGAGAAGGCACGCUGACACGUAGGUGAAGUGAUUUACUCAUGGAGCUGAAGUCAGUCGAAGAUACCAGCUGGCUGCAACUGUUUAUUAAAAACACAGCACUGUGCAAACACGAAAGUGGACGUAUACGGUGUGACGCCUGCCCGGUGCCGGAAGGUUAAUUGAUGGGGUCAGCGCAAGCGAAGCUCCUGAUCGAAGCCCCGGUAAACGGCGGCCGUAACUAUAACGGUCCUAAGGUAGCGAAAUUCCUUGUCGGGUAAGUUCCGACCUGCACGAAUGGCGUAAUGAUGGCCAGGCUGUCUCCACCCGAGACUCAGUGAAAUUGAACUCGCUGUGAAGAUGCAGUGUACCCGCGGCAAGACGGAAAGACCCCGUGAACCUUUACUAUAGCUUGACACUGAACAUUGAGCCUUGAUGUGUAG
rnacentral:rRNA from 1 species